rnacentral:lncRNA from 1 species
UCAGCUGUGACCUUUUGCCACUUGUGUUAUCCAUUCACUCUAUCGACUACAACACACUCAAAAAAACUUUGGCAAAUUAGUGGAAUAAAAAAGCCAUCAAGGUUAUCAAAGACAGGUGGCAGAUUUGUCAGGAGCUCAUAGAGAAUCAUGGGGAAGCACUGCCUGGUUUGCCUGCAAUUCUGCUCUGUGCCUAGAGAUUUGCCCAAAUGGACAGCUGCUGGGACCAGGGGGAGAGAGAUGUCACCAUGCCACCUGGUUCUAAGGAAGUUCCAAAAAUACCUUCUUCAGGGGGAAUGAAACAAAUAACCCUUUCCUCAGAGCUGCCUACAGUGACAUCUCCUAAUUGCUCAGAAUUUAGUUUUAUUUUCUUUGGAAGCUGUCCUCAUCUGAAACCUAAAACCGUGAGCCAGCCUGCCAUCUCCUUAGUGACACAAUCUUUCUCCAAAUUUAUUCAUUCAUACAUCCCACUCCAUUGUUGUAUUCUACUUUUGUCACAUACUUAAUUUUCCAAACAAUUUUGUGUAUAACAGAUUUGUCUGACAAAUCUUAUGAUUUUAGUUCUAGUAUCCGUACAUAAUCUAUUUACUUCUUGAUUUGCUGUUUGUUGUUGUUUGGUUUUGUUUUUUAUAACUCCUUCUAAAUGCCAUAGAACACCUGUACAACAAAAUGGAAAGUCAUAUGUGGUUACUAGUUAAUUCUUAUUUAUUAAAUGGCUCUACAUUUAAAAGGAAGAAGGGGUAGAAUUUAGCUUUAGUCAGUAUCUUUUAUUUUUUCCUCUGGAUCCUUUUUCCCAGUGGCCAACAAUAAAAUAACAAACGCUGCAUGGAAUUCUAUUUUG